UCUGGUCACCCCAUCUCAAAAAAGAUAUUCUGAAAUUGGAAAAGGUUCAGGAAAGGGCAAUAAAAAUAAUUGGGGUAUGGAAUGUCUUCUAUAUGAGAAGAGAUUAAUAAGACGGGGACUUUUCAGCUUAGGAAAACCUGACUGA